rnacentral:rRNA from 1 species
AUUGAACGCUGGCGGCAUGCCUUACACAUGCAAGUCGAACGGUAACAGGUCUUCCGGGAUGCUGACGAGUGGCGAACGGGUGAGUAAUACAUCGGAACGUGCCUAGUAGUGGGGGAUAACUACUCGAAAGAGUGGCUAAUACCGCAUGAGAUCUAUGGAUGAAAGCAGGGGACCUUCGGGCCUUGUGCUACUAGAGCGGCCGAUGGCAGAUUAGGUAGUUGGUGAGAUAAAAGCUUACCAAGCCUACGAUCUGUAGCUGGUCUGAGAGGACGAUCAGCCAACCUGGGACUGAGACACGGCCCAGACUCCUACGGGAGGCAGCAGUGGGGAAUUUUGGACAAUGGGCGCAAGCCUGAUCCAGCAAUGCCGCGUGCAGGAUGAAGGCCUUCGGGUUGUAAACUGCUAUUGUACGGAACGAAAAGUCUUGGGUUAAUACCCUGGGAUCAUGACGGUACCGUAAGAAUAAGCACCGGCUAACUACGUGCCAGCAGCCGCAGUAAUAC